AAUGCGAAGAACCUUACCAGGUCUUGACAUCCAACUAACGAAGCAGAGAUGCAUCAGGUGCCCUUCGGGGAAAGUUGAGACAGGUGGUGCAUGGUUGUCGUCAGCUCGUGUCGUGAGAUGUUGGGUUAAGUCCCGCAACGAGCGCAACCCUUGACUUUAGUUGCCAGCAGGUAAGGCUGGGCACUCUAGAGUGACUGCCGGUGACAAACCGGAGGAAGGUGGGGAUGACGUCAAAUCAUCAUGCCCCUUAUGACCUGGGCUACACACGUACUACAAUGGCCGGUACAACGGGAAGCGAAGCCGCGAGGUGGAGCCAAUCCCAGCAAAGCCGGUCUCAGUUCGGAUUGCAGGCUGCAACUCGCCUGCAUGAAGUCGGAAUUCCUAGGAAU
rnacentral:rRNA from 1 species